UACGUAGGGGGGCGAGCGUUGUCCGGAUUUAUUGGGCGUAAAGAGCUCGUAGGCGGCUUGGCAAGUCGGGUGUGAAACCUCCAGGCUCAACCUGGAGACGCCACUCGAGACUGCUAUGGCUAGAGUCCGGUAGGGGACCACGGAAUUCCUGGUGUAGCGGUGAAAUGCGCAGAUAUCAGGAGGAACACCGGUGGCGAAGGCGGUGGUCUGGGCCGGCACUGACGCUGAGAAGCGAAAGCAUGGGGAGCGAACAGG
rnacentral:rRNA from 1 species